GAUGAACGCUGGCGGCGUGCCUAAUACAUGCAAGUCGAGCGAACAGACGAGGAGCUUGCUCCUCUGACGUUAGCGGCGGACGGGUGAGUAACACGUGGAUAACCUACCUAUAAGACUGGGAUAACUUCGGGAAACCGGAGCUAAUACCGGAUAAUAUAUUUAACCGCAUGGUUCAAUAGUGAAAGACGGUUUUGCUGUCACUUAUAGAUGGAUCCGCGCCGCAUUAACUAGUUGGUAAGGUAACGGCUUACCAAGGCAACGAUGCGUAGCCGACCUGAGAGGGUGAUCGGCCACACUGGAACUGAGACACGGUCCAGACUCCUACGGGAGGCAGCAGUAGGGAAUCUUCCGCAAUGGGCGAAAGCCUGACGGAGCAACGCCGCGUGAGUGAUGAAGGUCUUCGGAUCGUAAAACUCUGUUAUUAGGGAAGAACAAAUGUGUAAGUAACUAUGCACGUCUUGACGGUACCUAAUCAGAAAGCCACGGCUAACUACGUG
rnacentral:rRNA from 1 species